GUUCUGAUGUCAAAACACAUAAAUGUGUUGGUCCGAUGAAAACAGAAGCUGAUGGACAGGACUGUGGAGGACCAGAACCAGCCAGGAACUCACAUCCACUGAUCCUGAGACUGGUGACAGUGCUGAUGGGAAGGAGACCAGAGAACCUCUGUCAGCUUUAAACUCUCUGACAAAUAGUACCGGUAAGUCGUACGAUGGAAAAAACUGUUAAGGGGCUCUGAGUGUGGGAAAAGACUUGGCUGCAAGACACUUAAGUCUUACACGGUUAAAAAGAAGAUUCUGUUCUGCUGCAGCGUUUGUGACCAAAGCUUCACCUGGUACAAACAGCUCAGGAACCCUCAGUGUGUCGGCCGUCAGAGUCAAACUGAGGAGAACAGAGAGGCAGCUGAAGACACGGAAUCAGAAGCUGAUGGAGAGGACUGUGGAGGACCAGAACCACAUCCACAGACACUUUCACAACCAGAGACUGAAGACUAGUCUGUCUCUGUCGAUGGUAUGAAAUAUAGCUGCUCUCAGUGUGGGAAAAGAUUCAACAACAGGCCAAAUCUGAAGGUGCACAUGAUCAUUCACACGGAGGACAAGCCGCUCGGCUGCACACUUUGCGGAAGCCGAUAUUCGGAGAGUAAAAAGUUAUUGUGUCACGUGAAACUCCACAAGAACAGCUGUUCAGGUUUUUCUGACCAAGACCAGAUGUUUUGGGGAAUAUAAAAGGAUCAACUUCCUGUAAGGGACAGGACAGCAACAAACACACGCAGUAACAUUCACAAAGGAGCCGAAAGAUGAUUCCAACUUUCUGUCAGAUGAGUGAUGAGAGUUUAACAAGCUGUGUAACAAUGAAUCUGUAUUUCAGAGCUGCAACUUGUGAGUUAAUCUGAGAUCGCAAAUUUCUUUAUAUAGCACACAUUUUUUGACGCGUGAUUAACGGACGCACGUUCUGUGAUUAGGGCCAUACAGCUUCUCUAUUAUUUAAUUAUCUAUUCACCUCAGUUAUGUUUUGUAUUCCCAGAAGUCACUUAUCAUUACCACAACUGUAUAUAUUUUAUUUUGUACAUAUAUUUAACUAAACUGGAUUGCUGUCUUCAAUGUAAAAAGUAGAAGGUGAAUUAGUAAGAAUAGUUGGAAUAAGGAUAAAACAUUGGCUAAGGUCCAAGCACAGAGAAGAGUUGAUCUGAAAGCAUUUUAAGUUAUAAGCAGAUCACUAGUUUCUUGUAAUUUUACAGAUAAGUUCACGUUACUGUAUUGUGUAACAGUUAACUUCAUAUAAUAUUGGAUGUGGCGUUUUCUUUUGCGGGGUGCAAAUGUUCCACCAAAACAAGUUCCUUCCCGAGACUAUUUAGCAGAGCCACCGUUGCUGCCUCCGGAGCUCAGCGCCGCCCAAGACCGUUGUGAUUGGUUCAAAGAAAUGCAAACCACCCAGAGCGUUGUUUUCACCUAUACCAGAGGCCUGUACUACGAAGCAAGAUUUGGCGUUAACGUGGUAACUUCAGGUUCAACCCAGGGUUUAGUGUAUCACGAUGGUGGAUCAUUUGUUACCUGGUUCAAUCACCGUGAUAACUUAUGUUGGGGAUUAGAGAUCAACCGGUGUAAAAGCUCCGCCUACUGACCAGUUAAUACUCGAUUGAUAACGGCGUCACCAUUCUUAGAAGAUCUGGUGGAGCUCGGUGCGCGGAGAGAGAGAGCAGCGCUCUUACGUAUAGACUAUUUUUCAGCUUGUUGAGCCGUGUGUUGCCAAUGCCACACAUCGGCUUGAAUUAUGUAUUUAUAUUUUUUAUUUGCUCUCGUGAUCGCUUCCCACUGCCAGGGUUGCAACUGAUAAUAUAAUAGGCUAAAGCAACGACAGUUUAUGGAAACCAUAAGUGUAAUUAUGGUCAGAUCUUGUGCCUGACUGAUGGGUUGAUGAUAAGCGUUGUAAUUUACGCAUUUACAGCGUCGGCUAUUUUUUUGCCAGCUUUCCUUCCUGUUUUAGUAAGCCGCGACUGUAUUGCGUUUUGCCUGUAAAACUGUGUCUGUGUUCUUCAUAUUUAUGUAGAAUUAUAGUUUGCUCUUCUUAUGUAAAAUAUGUGGCUCCGGUAGAUGUUUGCGAUCGAUCAUGCUGUGCAAUCACCGCCUCUUUUAUGCGAACGUGCGCACCACUGGAUUGUGAAACCCUGGACAGAAGCUGAUGGAGAAGACUAUGGAGGACCAGAAUCAGCCAGGAACUCACAUCCACAUCCACUUUUACAACCAGAGACUAAAGACCAGACUGGAGACUCUUCUGAACCUGAGACUGAUGACCGUGCUGAUUGGAAGGAGACCAGAGAACCUCAGUCAGCUUUAAACUCUCUGAAACAUGAUUCAAGACGUAAGAAAACAUUCAGCUGCUCUGAGUCUGGGAACAGAUUUGGCCAAAGGGAAUGAAGGUCUGAAGAGACACAAGAUGACUCCCACAGGAGACAAACGAUUGACCUGCAGUGUUUGUAACUAAAGAUUUGCCUGGCGUACAACGCUCAAAAGUCAUAGAUGUGUUGGCUUUUUUAGAGAAAACCUUUCAAACAAGAAACUGAUGAUGAUUGGAAGGAGACAAGAUAACCUCAAGUCAGCUUUAAACUCUCUGAAAAAUACUGAAGUCCUGGUCGCAGAGCCGCGAGGAACUUUAAAAUGAAGUCUGAGAGGAAGCUGUCAGCGGACCAGGGGACAGCUUUACCUCAAGAUGUUCUGGAAGUGAUUGUUGGUGAAGAGGAGCAGCAGGAGUGUAGCGCCAGUGUGGACCAGCAGGAGCCAGAGCCCCCCCCACACAUUAAAGAGGAACAGGAGGAACUGUGGAGCAGUCAGGAG